GAAACCGGAAAGGGGAGGGGUCAGGGUGGCUGCCGAGAGAGGUGCCAGAGUGGUGGGUGGGUGGCCUGGAUUGAUCUCACCCCCAGGAUGGGCAUUUUCUGGCCUGAGCUCUAGGUGGCCACGUGGACCAUAGACCAAAGAGGUCUCCCAGCCUCCAUUCUCACCUCGCUGGUCCACCCUCCCCGGACUGUCUAUGGCCUCCUGACUGUGCCGCUCCCUGCCUACACCCUCUGUGGCUCCCACAGGCCUCGAGAAGAAGCCCAGGCGUGGGCAGGGUGAUCCGCCACGUAGCCGCUCUGAGCCUCAGUGUCCUGAUCCGUAAAGAAGCAACAAUAGAAGGCCCGAUCCCCGGAGUUUCUAUGGAAUUUAAGUUGCCCUCGCAGGGGCCAAGCUGGGAGCCAACGCACGGGAGAUCCCGGAACGCCGAGCUGCUGUCAGCACCACGAUGACAGGCUGGAAAGCGAGUUUGCAACCCCUGCAGGGAGAAGUAGCAGCCGGCUUUCCCUCUGGUGCCUGGGGGUCCAGGGCAGCGACGAGGUGGGAAAGUGAAAGGACGAGAGCAGUGAGACAAAGGGACGAGCCCACUGGACCAACUGGACCAACGUGGAGACGCAGACCAGGGGGACCCAGGCAGGGCAGACCAAGCGCCUGGGAAGCGGUCUUUCAGCUGGGGGGCAAUGAGGAGGGAGCCCACAGAGAGGGGCCGGGCUGCCCAGUACCCAGGGCUUGGCUCCCAGCAAGCAGUUAUGGAAUGAAUGCAUCAUGAAUGAAUGAACCAAUGUAGGUUGCAUGCCACCUAAAUGCCAGGCUUUCUCCCAUCCAUG